rnacentral:ncRNA from 1 species
GUAAAAGCUUUGACAGGAACAAGUAAGCUGCAGGUGGAUAUACAGAGAGCUGCCGGAUGGUGCGAGACAGCAGAAGCCUCAAGCUGAACUCAUCCUUGAGCUGGCAGGGACUUUAGGUUCAAUUUGCCCGGGUAAUCCGUUAUAAUGUUAAAGUGAACAGCAAAAAAGCUGUUAAUUAGAGUGGUACCGCGGACCUUUCGCCUCUAGA